UGGAGUUUGUGGAAUAGAUAGGUUUUUACUUUAUGAAUCUGGAACGAACGGAUUGCUACCGGCGGCAUUCCUGAACGCAAUUGGGUCCAACACGGAAGCUAAACUAGUUCAUAUGCAUCCGGACAACGUUGCCCAGAAGCAGGCACAACAAGCAAUGAAUUUCGAUACGGAACAACUGAGCAGAUGCAUAUCAGUGAAAGUUUAUUCCGUUCUGAGACAUUUCUACCAACGAAGUAAGGACACGAACGGUAUUGAAUUGAAUGAUGCUAAGCCAGAUCAACAGUGUGGGGAGACUGACGGUGUAAAUUCGCCACAGGUGGAAAUUAAUCACAAACGCAAGAUGUGACAUUAUCAGAUUCUCCCAAAGUGGUUUCUUACCAGCUAUGAAUACACCCGUUCGGAUGAUGUGGCUUUUUUGCUUCCAUCAACUGCAGUCAACAGCAUCGGCUUUCCCGUAGCAGUAUCCUCCAAGCCAUGGUGGCUGUUCCAGGGGACAACAUCAACAGCAGCAGCAUCUGGACCUGACCAUCGAUAGUGUUUCGAGCAACUUUCCAUAUCGGAGAUCUCGUGCUUCGCGCACAUUGAAGAAACCUCCUCAGCCACAUAUGUGUGUCAAGGAAAGGAGAAAAAGGAGCUGGAUUCGAAUCGUCAAUCCAGACAACCCGAAUGCACCGAUUGCAUUAUAUAUCUUGUUUAUAUUUUAUAUGCAUUUUGUGUUUUUUUGAAUAAAAUGAUUAAAAUCGAUCAAUGUUUUUCCUUUUCAUGUUUCAUAACAAACCAAUACAAACAAGAGACGAUCAGUGUUGGAAGCAGCGUUACAUGCAGGUCGACGCCUUGCACAUGUUGGC